GAGAGAAUUAUUAUCUAUCAUAAUCAUUUACAACGAAGGAAGCUUCAAAAUGUUACAACAAAAUUUAAAAAAAUCCUGUAUUAUUCUAAAUACUACACGGAAGAUAAGAAUGAUUGAUAAAACAAACAUAUGCAAUUGAGUUUGUGUAAUAACGGUUGGUUUGGAAGGCGUUAAAGAGCGUGGCUAGUUUAUAUCCAGGUGGUGGACCAGUGGUUCGGUUCACCGGCAGCGUUUCAUAAUGUUCGUUUGGCCUCAAAUUGCUCUUUCCUUAUCGGCAGGUUUUUUUUUUUUUUUUUUUUUGGGGGAGGGUAGACGAGAACGAAGCAAGAUCAGUAGCUCAGGAUGGCAGUGAGAGCAGUAGUACUUCAGACACCACGCCCGCUACAUCUUUCAGUCUCCACGCCACCACCGACCCCUCGAGUCUACGCAGCCCAGUGGCCGUGUGUGUCUUGGCGUUGGGCGUGACGUGCAGCAACGGUGGUAAUAGCAACGGGAAGCUUGAUGCACAGCACAGCACAGCACAGCAGGUGAGUUGACGAUCCAAAGGCCUGACUCCACAGCGGUAAUGAGCCUUGUGUACCUUGCACUGUCUUCACUGACAACGCCCACUACUAACCCCUCUGCCUCCGCCACCGUUUCAAGAUCAGGGAAGGACUCUGCCUUGCAUCGCGCACUGUGAUGGUCGCCGCCCCCGCCCCCGCACCCGCCGCCGCCGCUGCUGCUGCUGCUGCUGCCGCUAAGGGAGAAUAGUUUGUUGAGUGGAUGACGGCGCGUUCACUGACCCUCUCCCCAUCACCCUACCAACUCCGGCCACCCACCCCCCUGCCACCAGACACCUGCUACACCACCACUACCGCCGGCUCCGUCCAGUGAAAGAUUCAUCGCAGACCUGCCAUUCAACGCCUGCCGCCGCCGCCACCACCACCACCUCCUUAUGGUGGUGUCACUGUACCUGGAGCUGUUGUCAUGAUUGAAUAAUAAAUUGUGAAGAAAU
rnacentral:lncRNA from 1 species